ACAACUGGACACGCCCCAACACUGAGGUAUUAAAAUACCCCCCCUCUCCCCAGCGCAGCUCUAGGGCCAGACGUGCCCUGCCCCAGGCUGUCCUUGUGUGGAGGCCGGGGGAGUGCAGGCAGGGCUGAGCACCCAGGCUGCUGUGACACGCCACCUCCCUGCAUUCCUCCUGCAAGGGAACCAGCCUCCGGCCCAACCCCCGCCCCAGAGCACGAGCCAUUCGGGGGAAGGGAAACCUGCGGCCCGGGGAGGAGACGCCGGAACCGAGUUGCUGCGGAACUGUAGGUGCGAGGCUCAGGGAGUGAGGGGGAUACACAUUCUGCAGGACCUGGAGCGCGGGGGACGCGUUUGCCUGCCUGGCGCGCCCCGCUCUUCCGGCCGGGUGUCCGCUGUCGGGGCCGGGCGGCGGGCGAGGAUGUGCUCGGCGCUGGGGAAGGUGCUCUGCCUGGGGAAGGAAAUGUUUCUAAAACAGGCAUUUGCUCUUAGCAGGUAAGGAUUGUGAAAUCUGACAGAGCAAAUGUAAGAUUCAAGAUAACAUUUUUAUAUCCUGUCUUUUACAAACUGGCCCAGCAAACUUAUAAAAAAAAAAUAAUCACUAUACAGUUGAAAAAUAAUAUCAGAGAAAGGUAAAACAUUGAGAUAUAGUGAAAGGAAUAUUUCAUAUGACACCUGGAAGCUGAUGGAAUAGCAAGAUCUGUACAAUAGAUGGUUCCUUGCACCAUCAGUGUAGGAAGAAUGGUCUAGUGUAUGGGUGUCAGACUCAAAACCCAUGGACCAGAUCAGGUGUGCAUAAUGUAUUUGUGGCUCACAUGCCAUACUCAGACUGUGCAGAAUGUAAACUUUUUUUUAAUGACCCAAAAAAAGUGUUUUUUUUUCUAGACAUCAUGGCUGCAGCCAUAAUCUUCCAAAUGUAAUGGGAGGAGGGUGUAAACCAAUGUCAUGAUGUCUGUCUGAGUUUGCAGAGAACUGAAAAAUGAGUCAGAGGGGUGACCUACUUCUUAUGAAUUUGAUCCGUGUAUCAUCUCCAAAGCCCACUGAUGGUGUUGUAAUGUCAGUA
rnacentral:lncRNA from 1 species